AUGGCAACCACCACAGGCUUGGGAGUAAAAGUCCCUCGAAAUUUCUGACUGUUGGAAGAGCUAGAAGAAGGACAAAAAGGAGUAGGCGACGGCACAGUUAGCUGGGGUCUGGAGGACGAUGAGGACAUGACACAAGAUGGACAGGCAUGAUAAUUGGGCCUCCACGAACAAUCUAUGAAAACCGGAUAUACAGCCUUAAGAUAGAGUGUGGGCCCAAGUACCCAGAGGCUCCCCCGUCUGUGAGNUUCGUAACAAGAGUCAAUAUGAGUGACGUAAGCAGUUCGAAUGGAGUGGUGGAUCCAAGAGCCAGGGCACUGCUGGCAAAGUGGCAGAACUCCCACAGCAUCAAAGUCAUCCUGCAGGAACUGCGGCGCCUGAUGAUGUCAAAAGAGAACAUGAAGCUGCCACAGCCACCAGAAGGACAGUGUUACAGCAAUUAGUCACCAAGGCCCCGGCCUCCCCUCCCCAUCCAACCCAAGUCUUCAUUUUCCACAGUAGUGAAUUUUCUAGAUACAUCUGUAGACCUCAAAGUACCGGAGAGGAAGCUCCACUCAGCCUUCAUCCCGAGGCACUGUUCUGAUACUAACUUCUCGUCCAUUUGAAAUACCUAAGUUGUGCUGUGUAACAUCAUCUGUCGAGUGUAACCGCUGUCUGCCUGGUUGAACUUCUGGGAUCAUGAAGGUGUUGAAAUUGGUUUCCUGUGGGAGUGGCGGGCACAGCUAACGCAACUGUGAACAGACACGUCACACAAUCACCUGCUGCUGGCCCUUGGCCUGGGUCUGCCUUUGCCCGCCCCGCCCUCUGCCACAGCUGUGUGGUGGCCCUUAGAAUAGAUGGGAAGGCUCCGGGUAGCAGCCGUGGGACUGACCACUGCUGGGCUUGGGGCGCUUUGGCUGCACCCCUGCUUUCUUAAGUCUUAAGUGAUGCCCCAUCUAAGCCAUGGUCCUCACUCCUCCACUCCCAUCCUUGGCCAAAGCUUAGAUUGUAACCCUCCCUUCCCUCUGAGAUUGGUCGAGGGUGAGGAAUUCAGGACUUCCUGUGUCCCCACCUUUAUCAAGGGGUGCUACUUUCCCCUCCUCAACUCCCUUGUAGCCCAUCACCACCCAACACUUGCUGUUGCCAGAAGCCAUCAAGUGAGGUUGGAAGAGCCUGGCCUCCCUCACUUAGCUCCGGACCACACUCACCUGCCACCAGCCUGGGAAGGGAACGCAGGGACCUUGGCCCUGCUGCAGCCCUUGAUCUUUGCACCCAGGUCUAGAGGUGAACCGAGCAGUCACAGGGCGACUCAGACCAGCCAGCGCUCAGGGUCCUUGGUGAAAAGAUGCCUAGAGAAAGGCCAUGCGGAGAGUCCUCAGUGCACACGGUUCUGAGUUGGUUCCUUUUCCCAUAAUUGCUUUGCUUUUACACAUUGAAGAGGNUUGAACAGGGCUCUCGAGUCACCCUGGCCACCCAUUGGGUCUGAUGUGGAGCCUGGCAGCUGAAACAGGAGGCCCUGACCCUGAAGACUCAGGUUUCAGUAUUGCUCCUCAAACCCUCUGCAGGGGCCAGGAGGAGCUCUGUGUCCCCACAUUUGCAGAUCCGUGGGGCUGGCCUCCUGGCUCACUGCCACGCUCCCCACUCUGUUCAGGCCCACUAAAUGUUGAAACGUGGAUGCAUACUGAAAUAAAGGCAAUCCGUUGUGUUGCA